rnacentral:rRNA from 1 species
UACGUAGGGUCCAAGCGUUGUUCGGAAUUACUGGGCGUAAAGCGCGCGUAGGCGGGUUUGUAUGUCGAUUGUGAAAUCCCCGGGCUCAACCUGGGAACUGCAGUCGAAACUGCAAAUCUUGAAUGUCUGAGAGGAUGGCGGAAUUCCCGGUGUAGUAGUGAAAUACGUAGAUAUCGGGAAGAACACCUGAGGCGAAGGCGGCUAUCUGGCGGUACAUUGACGCUAAGGCGCGAAAGCGUGGGGAGCAAACAGGG